UACAAUGCUUUCACACAGUUCUAUGUAGUUUUUACCUGUUGCAGGGCUGCGUAUCUGCACACAGAGAGAAAAAAAAAAUAGACCAACUGUGCAAAAAUAGAGAUGAGCCGCGUGUUCAUGGUCAGUGUAGCAGCUUCAGUCGGUUAUAAUGGACAUGCAGACGUGUCAUGCCGUGUCCGUGCCUGCUGUAUUUUGGCCGCUAGUGUGGAGAGAACACUUUUCCAAUUUGAGCAACAGCUGAACGCAGCAGAAUCUACUGUGAUAUUAAUCAAAGCUGUCUAUCUACUCGCCAGUCCUCCAAACAUCCUGCCUCAUCCUCCCUCUGAGAAGUGAAGUAAAAGGAUUUGUACCUUUUGAAAAAGGCACAAUAUUCCCAGAGGCUUCAUUCUGCUGCUGCUGCUGCUGCUCAUGCUGUGAGGCUUUUAGUAGCUUACAGACUGGCUGCGUGUUCAACAGAUGUUAUCAAAGCUUGUUUUAGUUGAAAUCAUCAGUAACACAUUUGACAGACACGCUGUCUGGUAAGUGUUUGAUUAUAUAAGCCUCUUGUCAGGCGGUUGAGUUAGAGUUUGGAGUCCUGGAAGGCACCGGGAGAUGUUUAAUCAGAAAUUCAUGACAUAUUUACAGAUGAAGAGUGCUUCAAAAAUUAAGGCAGUAUGCGGAAUAAUUAUAUUUUUAGGAGCAGUCAUUAUGUUGUCUGUUUACUCAGAGCAUUUAAAGGAAAUCACAGAAAACAGGAGAACUGUGUCACAUUAGGUUCUGUUUCCUGUCAAUCAACCUCACACAGGAAGGACUGGAAAUGAUCGUUUAACAGCAUCGCCUCACUCGCUGUGUCAUAUUUAUUCCUCUUUGUUUAUGGCGUCUUUUCUUGCUGUUCUGUUGUCAUUCAAACACAGUUCUGUUCAUAGUUAGACUACUUACUGUGUGUUUUAGAGUAAACAGUUGUUUUGCAUAUUGAUUUGAUUGUUUCAAGUUAAUUUCUUCUGCUACUCCACGUGUUGGUGGGGUUUUUAACAUCAAAACAAUUUAAAUGUUGGAAAACACUCCAUGAUUUCAUUCUCAGCUAAAUACUAUACAACAAAACACUGUAUUAAUGAUUAAAAAGUAGAAAUUGCUGCACUCUAGUUACCUUAAAAGGUGUUCAAAGACGGCACAAAUUGAAAAACUCAAAGGUUUUGUUGUACAUACUGAAAAGGUGCAAACCUCCAGGCUGUAUGUGACUGAAAAAUCACUCACGUCUUUCAUGGUGUCUUUUCUUGCUGUGGCAACACUUUAUAUGCUUUACAAUGUGAGGUUUUAUUUUUAAAACAACAAAAACAAGGAAGUCUUGAGUUAUCUCUCUGUACAGCUGUUGGUCCAGCUCCACAAUUUGAGGUCAGAAACCUUCCUGUCUCUCCUUCUCUAUUAUGAGUUUCAUCUUUCUAUUCAAUGCUGCUUGCAGCUCCUCUAGUUUUCUCUCUAUAGGGCUUCCUGGAUCUCAUGCACCCAGUCCUCUACCUGUUUCCUCAAAUCCUUUUUUUUUCCUCUGCAGCAUUUGAUGCAGCCCGAGUGGUUUCUUGGCUGAUGAAGCCUUUUCUCCUCUGAUUUCUGGGAAAAGUGCCUCUGUAAUUUCAACAGCUUCUGGGGUUUUCAGUCUGCUCCUGGACAACGAGCCCUUCUCUCUCGGGAGCUGCUAAUUGAGGCCAUCCAGCUUCCCCAUGAAUCCAGCAAACAGUUUCCUCCAGUUUAAUGAUGAAGCUUAAGAGGACGCCAGGUGGCCAUCAUCAUCUUCAACUUACACUUGAAAACCGGAUCACAUUAUCUGGAUCUGUAUAUUUUCUGCAUGUUAUGUGGGACCAGAUGCAUAAAACUAUCUAUAAAUA